rnacentral:rRNA from 1 species
GACGAACGCUGGCGGCGUGCUUAACACAUGCAAGUCGAACGGUGAAGCGCCUUCCUUUUUGGUGGGUGUGGAUGAGUGGCGAACGGGUGAGUAACACGUGAGUAACCUGCCCCCUUCUUCUGGAUAACCGCAUGAAAGUGUGGCUAAUACGGGAUAUUCUGGGUCUGUCGCAUGAUGGGUCUGGGAAAGAUAUUGUUUCGGUGGGGGAUGGGCUCGCGGCCUAUCAGUUUGUUGGUGGGGUGAUGGCCUACCAAGGCGGUGACGGGUAGCCGGCCUGGGAGGGUGGGCGGUAACACAGGGACGAAGACACGGCGCAGACUCCUACGGGAGGCAGCAGGGAAGAAUAGUGCACGAUGGGCGCAAGCCUGAUGCAGCGACGCCGCGGGAGAGAUGGAGGCCUGCGGGUUGUGAACCUCUUUCGCCAGUGAAGCAGGCCUGCCUCGUUUGUGGGUGGGUUGACGGUAGCUGGAGAAGAAGCGCCGGCUAACUACGUG